rnacentral:rRNA from 1 species
ACACGUGAUUCAGAGUUUGAUCCUGGCUCAGGAUGAACGCUAGCGGCAGGCCUAAUACAUGCAAGUCGAACGGUAAAUAUUAUAGCAAUAUAGUAUGAGAGUGACGUACGGGUGCGUAACACGUAUGCAACCUACCCUUUACAGGAGUAUAGCUCGGGGAAACUCGAAUUAACCCUUCAUAGAAUAAUUGAGUGGCAUCACUUGGUUAUUAAAAUCGCAAGAUGGUAAAGGAUGGGCAUGCGUCUGAUUAGCUAGUUGGCAGUGUAAUGGACUACCAAGGCGAUGAUCAGUAGGGGAACCGAGAGGUUGAUCCCCCACACUGGCACUGAGAUACGGGCCAG